AUAAUUAAUGUCAGAGUAUUUAAAUGUCUGGGCAGGAAGCAUUAGAACGUAGCCUCUGUCGUACCCGCCCCUCUUCCGGUCUUCAGUGUCACAGUAGUUGAAAUGUUGUUGCAGCCGUGCCUGUUAAGUCCUCGGUGAGCUUCGUCAAGCGCUCGUUGGAAGUUUUAGUGAAACAAUAUUUAUGAAGACAUCCUAACAUCCUA